UUUCUUAUCUAUCACCGUCCAUCUAAUUUUAUUUAAUUAACAAACUAAUUAAAAUAUGCUUUCUUAAUAUCUUGUUGCAUACCAGAAAGUUAUUUUUCUAUAAGCACUGUAUGAAAAUAGCUCUUAAGUGUGUAGUUUGUAGCUGAUGUUAGGUUUCUGGAUUCAGCACGUGGUGCAGACUUUCUUUUUUUCUUUUUUUACUAAAAGUAUCAAAUAACGUUAAAAUGAAGCAUCGCAUAACAAGAGAGAACAGAAAACCCUUCAGUACCAUGAACUAAUGUAUAAAACCAGGGCCAUAAGACACGCCCGAUAAUUAGAAAUGGCCAAAUUGUCCCCUAGGAUUUUAAAUUCUUACUCUGCAUUCAGCUGUUGUUAGGGUGACAAAGUUUCAAAUGUAUAUUUUAGGUCUUCCUCAUUUAUAUUUAAUUUAUUGCUCGUCAUUGUUAAAAUGAUUGAGAUGCCAAUCAAAGCGCACAUCAGCCAAUCCAAGGCUUUAGAUUAGUCACGCUUGUUAAGUUCACGUGCUCGUGACUGAAUUCACAGCGUUCACGGAGUCUCUCGUCUUAAACAACAAAUAGUGUUUUAGCGACGUAAGUACUACAUUUCGCUGCUUCAGUAAUUGUAAGUGGAGUUUUUGCAUUUCUUCUGCUAGCUAGAUUAUGGUCAUGGACCGACAUUAUGUCUGUGUAGGCAGCUAAUAACGUUUUGUUUCUCCAAGCGCUUGUAUGUGUAAGUUAAUGUUAUUCUGUUACUUGCGAUUAAUAUAUCAAGAGGAAUAAUCGAAAAUGAGUUCUGUCAUAAAUAAGUUGUCACCCUGACCCUGUACUAAAUAUUUAGUUUUCUUUGUAGCAUUUUAACCUUUUUUGUCUUUGCUGAAUUGCCCAUAAACAAGACCUCUGUAACUUAUGUCUUCAGAUAAAUUAUGAAUUUCAUCGGAUCACAACCCUUCCUUUACACUCCAAAAUUCAUGUCCAAACUGGAUCUGUUCUUUGAUGAUCUGCUAAAAGCGUUUACCAAAAAGGGUGGAGUGUUUAGAAAAAAGAUUCAAGAUGUGAUGGUGCCAGUGUCUCAGACCAAGCAAGAGUGCAUUCUCAAUGAUCUAUGCAUCUACCUGAAUGAAGAUGAAUAUGAUGGAGUAUUUGGAUGAUGACCCUGCAAGAACCGAAGCGGACAUAAAGAAGACCUUUUAGGGAUUCUGUGAUGAAGGCAUGAAUUUGCUGAUGCAACAGAAGACCCUGAAGAUAUCUGCAUUGUGCUGGAAGAUGUGGAGGUGCUUUCUGGUUUAGGUAAUGUAGCAUUGGCUACAGCCAUGCUACUUGGACUAAUAUACUCUUUAAAUCUUACUCAUCCACAGGAGAUCCAUUACACUUUUAAGGUGCUCCAAAAAAUGAUUCUCGAGCUGAACUUGUGUAAAUUGUCUGACAAAGCACAGGCGCAGAAAACAAAACUCUUCACUUAGGUGUGCUGUGUUUGAGGAUCCCUUUGUGAAUGCUGUUUUAUUUCCUUGUAUGCUCAUGUGUUUUUGUUUUAUCUCAAU